UGGGGAAUAUUGGACAAUGGGCGAAAGCCUGAUCCAGCCAUGCCGCGUGAGUGAUGAAGGCCCUAGGGUUGUAAAGCUCUUUUGUGCGGGAAGAUAAUGACGGUACCGCAAGAAUAAGCCCCGGCUAACUUCGUGCCAGCAGCCGCGGUAAUACGAAGGGGGCUAGCGUUGCUCGGAAUCACUGGGCGUACAGGGUGCGUAGGCGGGUUUCUAAGUCAGAGGUGAAAGCCUGGAGCUCAACUCCAGGACUGCCUUUGAUACUGGAAGUCUUGAGUUCGGGAGAGGUGAGUGGAACUGCGAGUGUAGAGGUGAAAUUCGUAGAUAUUCGCAAGAACACCAGUGGCGAAGGCGGCUCACUGGCCCGAUACUGACGCUGAGGCACGAAAGCGUGGGGAGCAAACA
rnacentral:rRNA from 1 species